rnacentral:lncRNA from 1 species
UUUUCUUUCACUGAACAGAUGUCAGGGGAAGAAGGCACUGAAAUUACUUCUCGAAAAGGAUUGUGUGGUAGAUGAGCAUCAAGAAAUGUCAUUUCAGAGCUGGAGGAGCAUUGUGCUGUAUUGAUAACUCCCUUGAGAAGGCUUCAGUGUAAGCCCAGGGGGUGUGGUGAUCUGAAAUAUGGAGAGACACAGAGAUCCCCUUUGUGAGGACAUCACGAAGGGGAGCAGCAUUGUGUGGGCAUGACAUGGAAAUGCUACAAGUUCUGAUAUCCUCGUAGCUCCUGAAGACCAUUGCAAGUACACCGAUUUUGUUAUCUCUAUCAAGAAAAGUAGAUAAUAAUUUUUAAAAAGAUAAGGCAAAUCCUCAUUUUAUUAGACAGAUGAAGAGUGCUUUGUAUUUAUG